rnacentral:tmRNA from 1 species
GGGGAUGCCAGGCCUAGACAAUGGAGCCCGUUGAAAGAGCUGCGAGGUAGCAGUGGAAAUCUGCUUAAAAAAUUCCAAACCACAACUGGCAAGUCAGUUGCAUCGCCGUAUUUUUCGGCGAACGAUCUCGCUUUCGCUAACGCCUAAGCGGUCGCGCCCGCUCUCCUUCUCCUGAGGGGAGAGGCCGGGUGUUAUAUUUCAGGAUAUAGUUUUGCGAAGCGAUUCUCCGCAAAACAGAAACUUGGAAUCUGCGGCAUCAAGAGAUUUUGUUCAUUCCCUACUCUCGGCGCCUAAGACCUCUAAAAUGAACUACACGUCGUAGACGCGCUUUCAAUUCUUCAUUGCACGGCGGUUCAACUCCGCCCAUCUCCACAG